GAUUUCUGGCUUGAAACAUCUGGCCGGCCACGGUUUCGUGUGUUAGUGCUUGAUGUUCUGGCCAUCCUUCCAAUUGCUACGUACUAUUCUUCAUUGAUUGGUGCGUAGUAUUGGAUCUUUUACUUUGAAAAAAUUAGAGUGUUUCAAGCAGGCUUUAUGCUAUGAAUACAUUAGCAUGGAAUAAUAAUUUAGGACUUCGGUUCUAUUUUGUUGGUUUCUAGGACUGAAGUAAUGAUUGAUAGGGAUAGUUGGGGGUGCUAGUAUUCAGCGGCCAGAGGUGAAAUUCUCGGAUUCGCUGAAGACUAACUUAUGCGAAAGCAUU
rnacentral:rRNA from 1 species